rnacentral:rRNA from 1 species
CUUCUGAUUGUAAAGUUCUUUUAUUUGGAAAAAAAGCGUGCUAGGAAAUGAGCGCGCCUUGAUGGUACUAAUUGAAUAAGUGACAGCUAACUAUGUGCCAGCAGCUGCGGUAAAACAUAGGUCACGAGCAUUAUCCGGAUUUAUUGGGCGUAAAGGAAGCGUAGGCGGGGAGGUUGAUCCAUUGUUAAAAGCAUUUGCUUAACAAAUGUGUGCAUUGGAGAUCGCCUCCCUAGUGUUAAUCAGGGGGUACUGGAAUUCAAUGUGUAGCGGUGGAAUGCGUAGAUAUAUUGAGGAACACCAGAGGCUAAGGCGAGUACCUAGGAUAUAACUGACGCUGAGGCUUGAAAGCGUGGGGAGCAAAUGGGAUUAGAUACCCCAGUAGUCCACGCCGUAAACGAUGAGCAUUGGGCAUUUGACAUCUGGUCGAGUGCUGUAGCUAACGCGUUAAAUGCUCCGCCUGGGUAGUAUAUAUGCAAAUAUG